UAGGGAAUCUUCCGCAAUGGACGAAAGUCUGACGGAGCAACGCCGCGUGAGUGAAGAAGGAUUUCGUUUCGUAAAACUCUGUUGUUAGGGAAGAAAAAAUGUAUAGUAACUAUAUACAAAAGAGACGGUACCUAACUAGAAAGCCACGGCUAACUACGUGCCAGCAGCCGCGGUAAUACGUAGGUGGCAAGCGUUGUCCGGAAUUAUUGGGCGUAAAGCGCGCGCAGGUGGUUUAGAAAGUCUGAUGUGAAAGCCCACGGCUCAACCGUGGAGGGUCAUUGGAAACUAAUAAACUUGAGUGCAGGAGAGAAAAGUGGAAUUCCUAGUGUAGCGGUGAAAUGCGUAGAGAUUAGGAGGAACACCGGUGGCGAAAGCGGCUUUUUGGCCUGCAACUGACACUGAGGCGCGAAAGCGUGGGGAGCAAACAGG
rnacentral:rRNA from 1 species